rnacentral:rRNA from 1 species
AUUGAACGCUGGCGGCAGGCCUAACACAUGCAAGUCGAGCGGAUGAAGGGAGCUUGCUCCUGGAUUCAGCGGCGGACGGGUGAGUAAUGCCUAGGAAUCUGCCUGGUAGUGGGGGAUAACGUCCGGAAACGGGCGCUAAUACCGCAUACGUCCUGAGGGGGAAAGUGGGGGAUCUUCGGACCUCACGCUAUCAGAUGAGCCUAGGUCGGAUUAGCUAGUUGGUGGGGUAAAGGCCUACCAAGGCGACGAUCCGUAACUGGUCUGAGAGGAUGAUCAGUCACACUGGAACUGAGACACGGUCCAGACUCCUACGGGAGGCAGCAGUGGGGAAUAUUGGACAAUGGGCGAAAGCCUGAUCCAGCCAUGCCGCGUGUGUGAAGAAGGUCUUCGGAUUGUAAAGCACUUUAAGUUGGGAGGAAGGGCAGUAAGUUAAUACCUUGCUGCUUUGACGUUACCAACAGAAUAAGCACCGGCUAACUUCGUG